ensembl:lncRNA
GAAAAAUGGAAUAACUCAGAACAAGACAAGCCUUAUAAAGUGAAAAACAAGAAGUGGGUGGAGAAGUCAGAGCAAGAUCAAGAGUGAUGUGUGUCCAUACAAAGCCUCACAUCAAAAUCUCACAUGACGAUUCACAGGCAGAGAUAUUGGUUUUGGACGAGCUUUAGGAUGAAAGAGCUGGGCACACACACACACACACACAAACACACACACACACGCACAGAGAGAGUUGUCACAACUUUCAAACUGAGGUGCAAAUGGGUGUGACCUCAACUCUGCCUACACUUUAUAAAACACUUUCUCUCGACAUUACUCCUUUGUCUCUUUUCCCUCCCACCCCUCAAGCCAACCCCACCUCACAAACACACACUCCCCCAUUAAACAUGUGCGUGAACGUGUGUUUGUGAGUGUCCUUCCUCAGUCUCUCCAUGGCUGAAUUGUGGCAGCAGCUCAGCUCCCUCCGGCAAGGUCGAGCUCUGGCUCUCCUCCACUUCGUUUGUCUUCUCUACCCACCCUCAGGUGCUCUUCCCUGGGAUAACAAAGCCAGUCCAUCCCCUCUGGAGGGGUUUGAGGUGGUGAAGGGGAAUUUCUCUCGGACUUUCCUGCACGUUGGCUACCACAAGAUUACAGAGAUUCCGUCAGGAGCGCGAAACAUCAACAUACAGGAAACAUUAAAGAGCCGAAACUACCUGGGUAAACACACACACACACACACACACACACACACACACACACACACACACACACACACACACACACACACACACACACACACACACACACACACACACACACACACACUCACACACACACAAACACACACACACACACACACAAACACACACACACACACACACACACACACACACACACACACACACACACACACACACACUGUAACAACAAUGUAUUUUUAGCAUGACAAACACUACAGUGAUGGACAAACGUGGGGUUUUCCUCCAGCUCUGAAGACCCAAAAUGGAGUCUCCAUCAUCAAUGGAAACUGGGUCAUUGACAGGCCGGGGAGCUACACUGCCGUGGGAACACAGCUGAUGUACCGGCGACCCAAUGAAAUCCGCUCUCGCAUUGGAGAGUCCAUCACCGCACCUGGGCCGCUGACUGAAGACCUGCAUGUUUAUGUGAGAUGCAAAAUGGCACUCAUCAUAUCAUUUGUAUGACUCCUUCAAAUGCCUACAGUACAUACUGCAUUGUACUACAAUACAGUAACAAUAACAAUAACAAUAUUACUACAUACAAUCUCUCUUUUUUACAGUUGAUCUACCAGCAACCAGGCCCUGGCGUAUACUUUGAAUACAGUGUUCCUUUACAUAACACAGACCCGACUCCAGAACCAGAUGCACCUUCUGGUAUAAUUCCCCUGGGUGAGUGCAACACCCAAACCUACACUUAAAGCUGUAUAAGAGUGACCCGAAAUGACCACCGUGCCAUUUUCUCAUACCAAAGAUUCUGGUUUGCCCUCGUGAUCAUAACACAUAACAGAUGCGUCUGUUUGUGUCCUCACAGCAGUGUCAUAGUAACACCAGUGUGUAUCAUUUUCCGCAAAACUGUCCUUUUGAAAAUUUGAUUAGGGUUUUGAUAGCAUUAGUAAGAGCAGGCAGGCGGCCAAACUCUGUUCGAGAAUUUCACCGCACACUGAGACAAUAAUCAGUCACUUGGGCCAUAUUUAAUUUCUUUACCUAAUAUUAAACCUUCAUUAAAGCAACAGUUUGAUUUGGAUCAACUAGCACAGGCAAAUAAUGACUUAAUUAUAAUAGAUCUCCUGAACUAUCGAAAUAUAUAUAUAUAUUUGCAAAGAACAUGCACAACCCCACAGGCGAUUUCAGCCGGCCGAUUAGACCUUUGCCCAGGUUGAAGACGGGUGGAGCAGUGCUGGAAGAUGCUCAUCAGACUCCAUGUAUUGAUAUUUUGUACAAUUUUCUCUUGCACUUCGUAUACAAGAAAUUGAUCAGCCUACAUGUUUCAAAUUAACAAGGAAUGAAACAAUAUGUGCAGUGCUGGACGUCACCAAACUGCAAUUCCAAACUGCCACUGUAAGCUGUAAAGAGAAACCACAGUGCUUUUCCAAAAUAUUUAAUAACUUUUUGGUUUUCUGAGGUGUUACUGGGGUUGUUUCGCCAAAAUCCACAAUUAGUUUUGAUUUUUUCCAUCUGUGAGCAGCUGCUCCACUUCCUUUGUGCACGGCCAGAGAGAGGUGUACAUCAACAGCACGCAUAAAAGUCAGUUUUGUGCUGAAUGAGAAUACGUUUCUUUGAUACUUUACAAAUGUGAACUACACACCUGCUUAGGAUCAUGCUGAAUCAUGCUUAGUAUUUGUGAUUUAUAUCAGCCUGUGCAACACUCACACUGUAACCUGUAACCAUUUUUUGUUUCACCUCUCCCAAACUUCCACUGUCCACUGUCUAGUCGACACAGUGGACCCAUCCCACCCAGGUGACAAAGUACACCAAGGUGACAUUACCAACAAUGACAUCACCAAGGAGACACCCUAUCACAACCAGGUUCCCCCUGACCCGAGCAUGAACGCUAACCCUCGGCCUACUUACACCUGGACAAAGAGUGGGCACAAAGAGUGCAGUGCAAGCUGUGGCAAUGGUGAGAAAACACAAAGAACACAAAGAAAUGAUGACCACACAUUGAAUUAAUACUUUUGCAAAGUAAAGCACAUAUAGUAGUAGUAGUAGUAGUAGUAGUAAUUAUUAGUAUUGUUAUUUAUUUAUAAAGCAGCUCUAAGAACAGGUUUUACAAAGUGCUUC